rnacentral:lncRNA from 1 species
CUCCAACAUUCCAAGGGGCUGUGUCCUUCUGAAUUGAUUUCAAUUUCAGAACUUCUUCUGUCAAAUUUUCAAAUGACUCCUUCAUCUCUGCCAUUUCAGUUUUAUAAUGUUUCAUGUCCGUGAUUAUUUCUUUGCUCGUCUGAUCAAGAGGUUUAAUUUUUAGUUCAUCACACUCCUCCUUUAAUUUUUUCCCACCUAACCUUCCAAUUGCCUAAGA